GUGAGGAAUAUUGGUCAAUGGGCGGGAGCCUGAACCAGCCAAGUCGCGUGAAGGAAGAAGGAUCUAUGGUUCGUAAACUUCUUUUGCAGGGGAAUAAAGUGCAGGACGUGUCCUGUUUUGUAUGUACCCUGAGAAUAAGGAUCGGCUAACUCCGUGCCAGCAGCCGCGGUAAUACGGAGGAUCCGAGCGUUAUCCGGAUUUAUUGGGUUUAAAGGGUGCGUAGGUGGUUUGAUAAGUCAGCGGUGAAAGUUUGCAGCUUAACUGUAAAAAUGCCGUUGAAACUGUCGGACUUGAGUGUAAAUGAGGUAGGCGGAAUGCGUGGUGUAGCGGUGAAAUGCAUAGAUAUCACGCAGAACUCCGAUUGCGAAGGCAGCUUACUAAGCUACAACUGACACUGAAGCACGAAAGCGUGGGGAGCAAACAGGAUUAGAUACCCCUGUAGUCC
rnacentral:rRNA from 1 species